UUCGUCGUAGUUUUAUUCUGAUGUUGGGCUCACGUUCAAUCGUGCAGGUGGAAAGGGGGGUUGCAGGGACGUGGGUGGUUAUGGGAGUGGCGGUAAGGCGCUGCAGACUCUCAGAGUCGGUUCGGUCCGCCGAUUGCUAAAAGAAUCAAAUAAAGCGCAGAGUUUCCUCGCGAAUUUUUGCGCCGGUGCGCCGCGCAUACGUUCGUUUGGCGUUUCACUCCGCGCGCGUGAUAUCAUUCUCGGCCGGCAAGAAUUGAAUAUUUUUAUUCGAAACCUUUUACUUUACCGAGAUUAUACGAGUUCUUAGUAUUUUUACAACGAACGUGUUGUAAUAAUAUCGUCGUCACUCGACGAUAUUAUUACGUCCGUCAUUCGACAUUAUUUGAUUUACCGCGAAAGCGUACGAGCGACAGAUUUGGUAAGGAAAAUACGGAAAGAAUUGAAAGUGCAAAUGUAAUAUUCAACGGGGAUGCUCACAGCCUCUUUGUUUCCGCGUACACAUGUGUACGUUCGACGCGUUUACAUGAAUCAGCAGGCGAGAUAAGAGUCGGUACUUCCCAUUAACGAAAUACGGUGGAGUCCCGCGCACAUGUACACAAUUAAAUGCGGAUACUCGCGCACGCUCGAUAAGAUAUGGCAUGUGAGUAUAUAAGCGACACUCGGAGAGAGUAACAUCACACCUCUUUAACACGCAGCAGACGCGAAAGAACGAAACACAACAUGAAAUUCCACUUGUUCAUCUUUACUCUGCUCUUGGCAGUGAUGGCCGCUCUUGCGUUCAGGGUUCCGCCUCAACAACCGCCUCCAGGCGGCUGGAAAAAAUUCCCAACUUUUCCCGGUCAAGGACCCUUCAACCCAAAGAUCGGGAAGUGAUGAGACAAAACGAUGACUUCUGCCAGCAUCUUUUGAAAUCGACUUCAUACUCUAAGAGAACUGAUAUGCCCGAGAUAAUU